rnacentral:rRNA from 1 species
AGAGUUUGAUCCUGGCUCAGAACGAACGCUGGCGGCAGGCUUAACACAUGCAAGUCGAACGCUUUGUAGCAAUACAGAGAGUGGCGCACGGGUGAGUAACGCGUGGGAACGUGCCCUUCAGUCUGGAAUAACCACUGGAAACGGUGGCUAAUACCGGAUAUUCCCUUAGGGGGAAAGAUUUAUCGCUGAAGGAUCGGCCCGCGUAAGAUUAGGUAGUUGGUGGGGUAAUGGCCUACCAAGCCUACGAUCUUUAGCUGGUCUGAGAGGAUGAUCAGCCACACUGGAACUGAGACACGGUCCAGACUCCUACGGGAGGCAGCAGUGGGGAAUAUUGGACAAUGGGCGCAAGCCUGAUCCAGCCAUGCCGCGUGAACGAUGAAGGCCUUAGGGUUGUAAAGUUCUUUUGUCAGGGAAGAUAAUGACGGUACCUGAAGAAUAAGCACCGGCUAACUUCGUGCCAGCAGCCGCGGUAAUUCA